UGUAUGGUUAAGUGACUAAGCGUACACGGUGGAUGCCUGGGCAGUCAGAGGCGAUGAAGGACGUACUAACUUGCGAUAAGCGCAGAUAAGGCAGUAAGAGCCGUUUGAGUCUGCGAUUUCCGAAUGGGGAAACCCAACUGCAUAAGCAGUUACUGUUAACUGAAUACAUAGGUUAACAGAGCAAACCGGGGGAACUGAAACAUCUAAGUACCCCGAGGAGAAGAAAUCAACCGAGAUUCCGGUAGUAGCGGCGAGCGAACCUGGAUUAGCCCUUAAGCACUCGGUGAAGUAGGUGAACAAGCUGGAAAGCUUGGCGAUACAGGGUGAUAGCCCCGUAACCGACGCUUCAUCGAGCGUGAAAUCGAGUAGGGCGGGACACGUGAUAUCCUGUCUGAAUAUGGGGGGACCAUCCUCCAAGGCUAAAUACUCCUGACUGACCGAUAGUGAACCAGUACCGUGAGGGAAAGGCGAAAAGAACCCCUGUGAGGGGAGUGAAAUAGAACCUGAAACCGUGUACGUACAAGCAGUAGGAGCACCUUCGUGGUGUGACUGCGUACCUUUUGUAUAAUGGGUCAGCGACUUAUAUUCAGUGGCAAGGUUAACCGUAUAGGGGAGCCGUAGCGAAAGCGAGUCUUAACUGGGCGCUCAGUCUCUGGAUAUAGACCCGAAACCGGGUGAUCUAGCCAUGGGCAGGUUGAAGGUUGAGUAACAUCAACUGGAGGACCGAACCGACUAAUGUUGAAAAAUUAGCGGAUGACUUGUGGCUAGGGGUGAAAGGCCAAUCAAACUCGGAGAUAGCUGGUUCUCCCCGAAAGCUAUUUAGGUAGCGCCUCGGACGAAUACUACUGGGGGUAGAGCACUGUUAAGGCUAGGGGGUCAUCCCGACUUACCAACCCUUUGCAAACUCCGAAUACCAGUAAGUACUAUCCGGGAGACACACGGCGGGUGCUAACGUCCGUCGUGGAGAGGGAAACAACCCAGACCGCCAGCUAAGGUCCCAAAGUAUUGCUAAGUGGGAAACGAUGUGGGAAGGCUCAGACAGCUAGGAUGUUGGCUUA
rnacentral:rRNA from 1 species